rnacentral:rRNA from 1 species
GACGAACGCUGGCGGCGUGCUUAACACAUGCAAGUCGAACGGAAAGGCCCUGCUUUUGUGGGGUGCUCGAGUGGCGAACGGGUGAGUAACACGUGAGUAACCUGCCCUUGACUUUGGGAUAACUUCAGGAAACUGGGGCUAAUACCGGAUAGGAGCUCCUGCUGCAUGGUGGGGGUUGGAAAGUUUCGGCGGUUGGGGAUGGACUCGCGGCUUAUCAGCUUGUUGGUGGGGUAGUGGCUUACCAAGGCUUUGACGGGUAGCCGGCCUGAGAGGGUGACCGACCACAUUGGGACUGGGAUACGGCCCAGACUCCUACGGGAGGCAGCAGUGGGGAAUAUUGCACAAUGGGCGGAAGCCUGAUGCAGCAACGCCGCGUGCGGGAUGACGGCCUUCGGGUUGUAAACCGCUUUCGCCUGUGACGAAGCGUGAGUGACGGUAAUGGGUAAAGAAGCACCGGCUAACUACGUG